rnacentral:rRNA from 1 species
UUUUUCCUACGGGAGGCAGCAGUGAGGAAUAUUGGUCAAUGGGCGGAAGCCUGAACCAGCCAAGUCGCGUGAGGGAUUAAGGCCCUGCGGGUCGUAAACCUCUUUUGCCGGGGAGCAGAGGUCCGGACGUGUCCGGGCCGGGAGAGUACCCGGAGAAAAAGCAUCGGCUAACUCCGUGCCAGCAGCCGCGGUAAUACGGAGGAUGCGAGCGUUAUCCGGAUUUAUUGGGUUUAAAGGGUGCGUAGGCGGGCAUUUAAGCCGGCGGUCAAAUGUCGGGGCUCAACCCCGGCCUGCCGUCGGAACUG